CUUGGGCAUGCCUUCUAACGUGCAAUUAGAAGAUAAACUAUUUAGGGCAGCCAUCUGGUACGUGCUCAAUAAUUGUGCGGAGAUUGGACCUUAUAUAGAGGAACACUACGAGAAAUGUAAGGUGCAACACCCAGAUUGCAUCGAUCGCACGCACCAAACUGAGUUUCCAACUUGGUUUAAGCAACGUAUCCAGGAACAUCGUACCUCGCAUACACUUGAUGUGUCCGCUGAUCUGUAUGCGUUAGCUUGCGGGCCUGACCGUUGGGUUGCAACAUAUGCUGCUUGCAUAAUAAAUGGA